AGGCCGGAGCAAAUCGUCACAGUUGCGAGUAUGGAGUCUCGCUGAUAAAGGAUGGCUCCUCGAGGUUCAAAAGCGAUGGAUAGAUCGUGGGUUGAGCUUGGCAAGGGAACGGGGUUGCCGGGAAACGUCUCUUAGCUUCAACAUCCGAAGAAACAUCAAAGAGCUUUGGAUUAAAGGGGAAUAAUGGGGCUGACUGAGAUAAAGGCCAACAAUAGCGAGAUACAGGGGAUUUAGAAGAGCCAAUGAAAGC